rnacentral:misc_RNA from 1 species
AAGUCGUAACAAGGUUUCCGUAGGUGAACCUGCGGAAGGAUCAUUAUCGAAAUUAAGUAGGGAGUUGAUGCUGGCAGGUCCUUGCAUGUGCUCACUCUCUUUUUAAUCCACUUUCACAUGUGCACUUGAUUUUUUCCAGGGCCUCUGUGCCUUGGUCUUACAAACUCUUAUUUAAUGUUAACUGAAUGUUUAUCUGCCGAAAGGCAAAGUCUUAUACAACUUUUAACAACGGAUCUCUUGGCUCUC